UACGUAGGGGGCGAGCGUUGUCCGGAAUUAUUGGGCGUAAAGAGCGUGUAGGCGGUCCGGUAAGUCCGCUGUGAAAAGUCCAGGGCUCAACCCUGGAAUGCCGGUGGAUACUGCCGGGCUAGAGUCCGGAAGAGGCGAGUGGAAUUCCUGGUGUAGCGGUGAAAUGCGCAGAUAUCAGGAGGAACACCGAUGGCGAAGGCAGCUCGCUGGGACGGUGACUGACGCUGAGACGCGAAAGCGUGGGGAGCAAACAGG
rnacentral:rRNA from 1 species